GGCACCAGUGUGGUAUAGUGGUUUGAACAUUGGACUAUCUCUCUGGAGAUCAGGGUUCAAAUCCCAGCUGGCCA